GACGAACGCUGGCGGCGUGCUUCACACAUGCAAGUCGAACGAAGUGGCGAACGGGUGAGUAACGCGUAAUCACCCUGCCCUUCAGAGGGGGACAACAGUUGGAAACGACUGCUAAUACCUCAUACUGCAGUAGGGGAUUUCGUCUGAUUAGCUAGUUGGAGGGGUCACGGCCAACCAAGGCGAUGAUCAGUAGCCGGUCUGAGAGGAUGAACGGCCAAAUUGGGACUGAGACACGGCCCAGACUCCUACGGGAGGCAGCAGUGGGGAAGCUUCCGCAAUGGACGAAAGUCUGACGGAGCAACGCCGCGUGAGUGAUGACGGCCUUCGGGUUGUAAAGCUCUGUUAAUCGGGACGCGGUACCGGAAUAGAAAGCCACGGCUAACUACGUGCCAGCAGCCGCGGUAAUUC
rnacentral:rRNA from 1 species